AGCACUUCCACUGCACUCUGUUGAUCAAAGCAAGUCACAAAGCCUGCCCUGAGUCAAGGGAGAGGAAAUGGCUUCUAUUUCUCUAAAGGAGGAACAAUAUGCACACAUAGGGAGAGAUGAAUCAACAGUGGCCAUCUUUGGAGACUAUCUACUGCAGAUUUUAUAAGGGCGCAGAUGAAGGACGCUCUUUUCUGCUUCAGGUGAGGUGGGGAGGAGCAGAUGUUUUGCCUCUAGUGAGACAAUAAUUUACUUCCCUAUUAUUGUUUGACUUUGCCUUGUUUCUGCCUAUGAAUUACUAACAGAGGCUUGCAGCACUAUCUAUGGGGCCUGAAACAUACAAUAAGGGGCCAGAAGGCCUUGAGAGAGCUGAAAAAGAAAUCAUCACCCUAGCCUCACCCAGUCACCUGUCUCCAGGCAAAAUAAUUCCCUGUCCUUCAUGAUGAUUCGGAGAAGACCAGCCCCACUCAGCUGCUGUUGCCAACCAACCAUAGUUCUUGUUACCCUGGGCCACAAGUGCCUUAUCCACUAGAUUGAGAAAGUUAAUGCCAGAGGGAAGUGAGAAACUAACUAUGGAAGAGUGGACCCAUGUUGCAAAAACAAAGUUCUAGGGAAAGACGUGAACAAAGAUGGGUGAGUAUGAAUGGGGUCUGACUGGAACAUGGCAGAGAAGAAAUUCAACUAUGCAAUGAGAUAAAGCAAAGAUUCUAAUGAAAGACUGAUGUGGUCAUAAACAAACAAACAAACAAACAAAAAACAGGUGCCCAAUGAAUACUUCUAACUGAAAAAAAAUCUGAAGAUGCUGGUCAGAGGAUCCUCAGGAGGGAAAAAACCUGACUUUCCUUGGUAAGGGCCUGUGGAGCAAGUAAUUGCAGCUUGAACCAUGGGGUCUCCUUGGAGCUGCGGGCACCAAGCAUCAGAUCUGAACACAGAAGCUGGGCCAGUUUGUUAAGUAGGGUGCGGCAGAGACUGUUAGUUGCCUAUCCAAUAUCCAGUCUCCUCUUUUUCCUUGGUCACAUAACCCAGAUUUUAAUCUGGGUGGCAGUGUGCUCAGCUGAAAGACUACACUUGGAAGCCACAUUUGCAGCCUGAGGGCCAGUGAGACAUAAGCAGAAGUUGUUGGGUAGUCUUCUGUGGACUCCUUAAGAGGGAAUAGACUACUCACAGACUCCUUUUUCUCCUUCUCCCUUCCUUCCAUGCCUUUCUGGAACAGGAAGUUUAACAUGAUGAUUGGCGCUCUAGCUGUCACAUUGGACCAUGAAGUUAUGUUGUUUUUUUUUUUAAUUAAUUUUUAGUUUUAUUUCAGUGGUUUUGGGGGUAUAGGUGGUUUUUGAUUCCACGGAUAGGUUCUUUGGUGGUGAUUUCUGAGAUUUUAGAGCAGUGUACACUGUACCCAAUAUGUAGUCUCUUAUCCCUCACCCCUCCCAACUUCUCCCCACACCGAGUCCCCAAAGUCCGCUAUGUCAUUCUUAUACCUUUGCAUCCUCAUAGCUUAGGAAGUGAUCUUGAAGAUGAAAGCCAUAUUCUAAGGAUGGCAGGACGAAAAGAUAAAACUUUGAUGAUGCUGUAUCUCCCAUACCAGCCAGACUCCAGCCUUCUUUUAUAUGAGAGAGAAAUAAGCUUCUAUGUUGUUGAAAACACUGUUACUUCUUCAUUCACCCAGGACAUCACAAGCUUAGUGAUCUUGGAAAGGCUUUGACAGAGGAGUGAAAAACUGGCGUGUUUUGGUUUGUUUAUUUGUUUCAGUUAAAUAAACUGUAAGACAAAGGUGAUUUAAAAUGACAAAAUAUAGUCUCUGAGCUCAGUCAUAAAAAGGAAUCAAGGGAUUAUGUAAUUGUAUUAUGUAUUUAUUUGGUCUAAACAAAAAAGAGCUUUAUUCUCUCAUGUAAGUGAGUAGUCCGGAGGUCACGUGGGCUUCAGAUAAGGCCUCAUGAACAGCUGGACGAGACAAUGAAGACCCAGUGUCUUUCUGUCUCUUCUUAGUCUCCAUGGUGACGGCUUUAUUCUUGGGCUGUCUUGCCA
rnacentral:lncRNA from 1 species